GAUGAGCGCUGGCGGCGUGCCUAAUACAUGCAAGUCGAGCGAACGGACGAGAAGCUUGCUUCUCUGAUGUUAGCGGCGGACGGGUGAGUAACACGUGGAUAACCUACCUAUAAGACUGGGAUAACUUCGGGAAACCGGAGCUAAUACCGGAUAAUAUUUUGAACCGCAUGGUUCAAAAGUGAGAGACGGUCUUGCUGUCACUUAUAGAUGGAUCCGCGCUGCAUUAGCUAGUUGGUAAGGUAACGGCUUACCAAGGCAACGAUGCAUAGCCGACCUGAGAGGGUGAUCGGCCACACUGGAACUGAGACACGGUCCAGACUCCUACGGGAGGCAGCAGUAGGGAAUCUUCCGCAAUGGGCGAAAGCCUGACGGAGCAACGCCGCGUGAGUGAUGAAGGUCUUCGGAUCGUAAAACUCUGUUAUUAGGGAAGAACAUAUGUGUAAGUAACUGUGCACAUCUUGACGGUACCUAAUCAGAAAGCCACGGCUAACUACGUG
rnacentral:rRNA from 1 species